rnacentral:lncRNA from 1 species
AGGAUUUAUAAGGCUGCUAAAAUCCUGAAGGCUGUUUUUGUUUUGCUUGGUUGCUAGCCUUCAAAGACCUCCAUGACCUGAUCCUUGCUGUUUCUUGAUGUCCACAACCUGGGUAAGCUACUCCAAUAGAGCUCAUCCAACUCUUCAAACCUAGCAACUGAACCUAAGGAAUUCCACCCUAGCACUUUAUCCUCUUUUACCCCAGCACC